GAUGAACGCUAGCGGCAGGCUUAAUACAUGCAAGUCGAGGGGCAACAGGGGUAGCAAUACCUGCUGGCGACCGGCAAACGGGUGCGGAACACGUACAGAACCUUCCUUUAAGCGGGGGAUGGCCCAUAGAAAUGUGGAUUAAUACCCCAUAGUAACAUUAGUUGGCAUCAAUUGAUAUUUAAAGAUUUAUCACUUAAAGAUGGCUGUGCGGCUGAUUAGGUAGUUGGUGCGGGAACGGCCCACCAAGCCAGCGAUCAGUAACUGGUGUGAGAGCACGACCAGUCACAC
rnacentral:rRNA from 1 species